GAGCUGCAGUGCUUGUGUUAACAUCACAUUUUUAGCAAAGAUAUCAACUGAUCAACAAUCAUUUUUAAAAACCGAACUCUUAAAACGAUAAAAUGAAAUCAAGAAUCGCGAUAAUCUUUCUGAUUUUGGUAGCCAUCGUUUGCAUUAGCGAACAAAAUUCUAUCAAACCAAAAGCUAGUCCCAUGGACCCCUAUCUGAAUUGUUUGUUGGACAGAGGUGAAUGUAGCAAAGCUGCCUCGUUAGUCAAAGAAAAGCUGAUCAAUGCCAUCAAAACUGGGUGCAAACAAUGUACAAAAACGCAAAUUUCAACCACGACAAAAACGGUAAAUAUUUUGAGAGAAAAACGGCCAGCAGAAUAUAAAUCACU